rnacentral:tRNA from 1 species
AAGGGAGACCUAAUUCGGGUAGAAGACGAAAAAAUAGUAGUCGAAACCAAGAAUCAAUCCCAAAAGGUCGGAACGAGGUAUGUGGCUUUCAAACUAGGUUCUGGGUUCACAAAAGACCUGAAUCAGGAACAAGGGCUAUUAGCUCAGGUGGUUAGAGCGCACCCCUGAUAAGGGUGAGGUCCCUGGUUCGAGUCCAGGAUGGCCCACCUGCACAGGUGGCAAAAACAGGAGAAACGAGGAAUCAGCACCUUAUCUUACUUACAUAGUAAGAGAGAAUGCUGGCUCUGAGUAAAGAGUCCAGAGGAACCUUGAAAACUGCAUAGAGCUAGGUGAAAAAGCCAAAAAAGAAGACCGCAA